rnacentral:rRNA from 1 species
AGAGUUUGAUCAUGGCUCAGGAUUAACGCUGGCGGCGUGCCUAACACAUGCAAGUCGAACGAGGUAGCAAUACCUAGUGGCAGACGGGUGAGUAACGCGUGGUCAACCUACCUUUGAGUGGGGGAUAACUAGCCGAAAGGCUAGCUAAUACCGCAUAACAUCAAAGCCGGCAUCGGCAAUGAUUGAAAGCAGCAAUGCUCUCGAAGACGGGACCGCGUCCGAUUAGCUAGUUGGUGAGGUAAUGGCUCACCAAGGCUGCGAUCGGUAGCUGGUUUGAGAGAACGACCAGCCACACUGGGACUGAGAACGGCCCAGACUCCUACGGGAGGCAGCAGUGAGGAAUUUUCCGCAAUGGGCGCAAGCCUGACGGAGCGACGCCGCGUGUGGGAAGAAGGCCUUCGGGUCGUAAACCACUGUCGAAGGGGAAGAUAUUGACGGUACCCUUGGAGGAAGCCCCGGCUAACUACGUGCCAGCAGCCGCGGUAAGACGUAGGGGGCAAGCGUUAUUCGGAAUUAUUGGGCGUAAAGCGCUCGUAGGCGGGACAGGAAGUCCGUGAAGAAAGACCUGGGCUCAACUCAGGGAACGGCACGGAUACUCUUGUUCUUGAGGCAAUCAGAGGGUGAUGGAAUUCCCGGUGUAGCGGUGAAAUGCGUAGAUAUCGGGAGGAACCCAGUGGCGAAGGCGAUCACCCGGGGUUGUUCUGACGCUGAGGAGCGAAAGCCAGGGGAGCAAACGGGAUUAGAUACCCCCGUAGUCC